AUUUAAAUAGUUUAAUAAAAAUAUUGAUCUGUGGAGUCAAAGACGUAGAUAUUACUUUAAAUA
rnacentral:tRNA from 1 species